GACAGGUGUAAGCAUCAUAGACUCCAAGUGUGAUUCUGGAUGUGUACUGGAGAGCAGGCUCGUGCUGCCCUACCAGCCUCCCCUCAUGGUACAGGGCCAGCGGCUGCGGGGCCAUUACUAUCCCCUCUCCCGAAAACAGCUGGAGUGGUACCUGGGCCUCAGCGCCAUAGUGGAGGAGGUGGAGAGAGACCAGUCCAAGAUCAUGCAGGAUGCCCAGGCAGAAGUACAGAAGCUGUGUAAAAGUUUCUCUUGGUUGGAGGAUAUUCAUUUGUUUACCAGCCAUUGGAGCGCAAGCUCCCUGAACGCCAUGAGGGGUUUGACAUCCCUGCAGUAUGAGGAGCACAUUCAGAAGGUUCGCCUCUGGAUUGACAGAGUGCGCACCCUGCCCCCUCUUUUCACCACGUCUAACAAGCUGUUCACAGUUAAUUGCUUACAGAUCCAGAACAAGAUAGAACCAUUAUUGAACUCUAUUGAAGAAGAUUUCCUCACCCUGUUGGCUGAGGAGAUUCAGCUGCGCUCUCAAAGCCUGAUCUCAGAGCUCAAGGGUGUUGAGGAUGGCCUGAAAGCUGAGCCCACUGACUUCAACGACUUUACCCAUUUUGCCAUCAUGGUACAAUUGUUAUGUAUACGCUUGUUCUUGUGUCCGUAACAAAUAAAUGAAAAUGGAAGAGUGGGUAAUUAAAAUGGAGAAUGGGUGAUAUGAAUAAGUAGUAGGUACCUCAUAAGUGCUACGGUAUCUCCUGCUGUGUAUUAUUGUGUAGGUGGAGCGUUGUAAGAAGAUGUCAGACGAUGCUCAACCACAGAUGGAAUACAUCCACUCUCUUCAGGAGACUGUCAGCAGGAACUUCAGACGUGUCACUCCAGAGGAGGUGGCCCUGGAGGAACAGAUGCUGGAUUUGUGGGACCAGUUUGUAUUCCUCCUCAAGCAGGCAGAUGAGACAGUUAGCGAUGCCCUUCCCUCAAUGGCACUCACCCUUAAUAACAACUUCCAGUCUCUGGCGCAGGAGCUAGCGGACACGGUGUCAGGUGCAACCUCAGGUGUUUACCUAGAUCCCAACCAGAAUGCUGCCCAGGUCGUCUCUAAACUCAAGGCCAUAUGCAGACAGCUAAAUGUUACCUCUGUGCGUUUGAAAGAGCUAAGCCGGACUAGCAAAGCCCUGAGAGGGGAACCAAUGGAUUUGACCUUUGUUGAUGUAGCCAUGCAGAAGAUUGAGACCCGCAAAGAACUGUGGGAGUUUAUGACAGUCUGCAAAUCACAGAUUCAAGAAUGGAUGCAGCUACUGUUCAGUAAGGUGAAUAUAAAACAGAACACUUUAGUUGUCACAGUAUACAUAAGGGACAAUUACACCUGA
rnacentral:lncRNA from 1 species